rnacentral:rRNA from 1 species
UACGAAGGGGGCUAGCGUUGCUCGGAAUCACUGGGCGUAAAGCGCACGUAGGCGGACUCUUAAGUCGGGGGGUGAAAGCCUGUGGCUCAACCACAGAAUGGCCUCGAUACUGGGACGCUUGAGUAUGGUAGAGGUUGGUGGAACUGCGAGUGUAGAGGUGAAAUUCGUAGAUAUUCGCAAGAACACCAGUGGCGAAGGCGGCUCACUGGCCCGGUACUGACGCUGAGGUGCGAAAGCGUGGGGAGCAAACAGG